AACGCACAUUGCGCCCUUUGGUAUUCCAAGGGGCAUGCCUGUCUGAGCGUCAGUGAACUUCACAGGGUUGUUUUAUUGCAGCUCGGUGAUUUGAGUGUGACUAGUCUCACUUGAAAAGCAUCACGAUUGGUGUCAUAGGUUCGCCUCACCAAGAAUAUAACGUCUUGACCUCAGAUCAGGUAGGGUUACCCGCUGUACUUAA
rnacentral:misc_RNA from 1 species